UACGUAGGUGGCAAGCGUUGUCCGGAUUUAUUGGGCGUAAAGCGAGCGCAGGCGGUUUCUUAAGUCUGAUGUGGAAGCCCCCGGCUCAACCGGGGAGGGUCAUUGGAAACUGGGAGACUUGAGUGCAGAAGAGGAGAGUGGAAUUCCAUGUGUAGCGGUGAUAUGCGUAGAUAUAUGGAGGAACACCAGUGGCGAAGGCGGCUCUCUGGUCUGUAACUGACGCUGAGGCUCGAAAGCGUGGGGAGCAAACAGG
rnacentral:rRNA from 1 species